rnacentral:lncRNA from 1 species
GUCAAUAUUUUCACAUUGCACCAGCCUGAUGAGCGCAGGGCAAGCCUUCUCAGCUACAUAAGUUUUUUUCUCAUGUCCAAUAUCAAUUUCCACAAGGUACACAGCCAUUGCCACUUGUGUCUCUUCACUCCCUGCCAUAUAUCAUUCGGAAGUAAACUGAUAUUAAUCAACAUCAAUUCAUUGUUUAACAUUUCGCUCCAGGUUAUGCUUGUAUAGCAUCUAUGCUUCCCAAACUUUGGAGAGAGUAGCAAUAAUGAAUUACCUUCUGUUAGAUGUCCCAGAAGAGGUUCCAAUAGCCCACUCUCUGCCAUUUGCUUGAUGUUCUCAGGACACUUCUCUAGAUUUCUUAAGAUUUGAUCUGAUGUUUCAGACGCAAAGGCAUCCAACUCUCUGUUAUACUUUGCGGUGACUAACAUCAGUAUCGCCCCCGUAGCAGUCCCGAUCUUUUUACAUGCAUGUCGGGAUU